rnacentral:rRNA from 1 species
CCUACGGGUGGCAGCAGUGGGGAAUAUUGCGCAAUGGAGGCAACUCUGACCCAGCAACGCCGCGUGAAUGAUGAAGGUCUUCGGAUCGUAAAGCUCUGUGAUCAGGGAUGAACACAAUGACGUAACCCCAAUAGCCAGUCACUGCUAACUACGUGCCGGCAGCCGAGGUAAUACGUAGGGGGCAAGCGUUAUCCGGAAUGACGGGGCGUAAAGGGAGUGUAGGUGGUUUAGUAAGUUGGCAGUGUAAUUCCGGGGCUCAACCUCGGCGCUACCGCCUAAACUAUUAGACUAGAGUGCAGGAGGGGUAAGUGGAAUUCCUAGUGUAGCGGUGGAAUGCGUAGAUAUUAGGAGGAACAUCAGUGGCGAAGGCGACUUACUGGACUGUAACUGACACUGAGGCACGAAAGCGUGGGGAGCAAACAGGAUUAGAUACCCCAGUAGUC